UUUCAUCUUCUUAUUUCUCAUUUUCUCUCAACAUAUCCCCCUCUCUCACUCUUUCUCUUUCUCUUUCUUUCUUUUUAUUUUUCGCCAAACAAGAGAUAGCCUCGAUUUUCUUCAGACCGGAUGUCCAAACAAUAUCCGAUCAUCCCGAAGUUUUAACCAAAGGUGGAAAACUCAUAAAGCAUUAUUCUUACUGAAGGAGAUCAAAUUUUAACGGUUAGAUCUUCCAUUAUUAAUCAUGGAAGUAGAUGUUACUUCCAACAGUAGCAGCGUCGAUUUGUACCCGAUCGGAGGUUCAAACAUUGUCCUAUCAUUCUGAAAUUUUAAAGGAAGGAUCAAAAUAUUGGCCCGCUUCGGAAAGUAGAGCUGAAAGAAGAAUACGCCCAACGAUUAGUGUGCGCAGCGACAGCUCAUGGAUAUACAGAAGCUACGGAAUAAUGGUCAGCGACCGCUGGACAAUGUGCAGCUUCUUGCUGGGAAAAAGCAGUGCACAGAAAUUGCCCUAUUUUCUCUCCAAGACUUACCAUACUAUGCUGAAGAUUUUCCAUAUUAUUGCACACGACUUGGAGGCUAUAAAUACCCUCUCAAGCUUCAGCAAAGGAACCUUUUGCUGCAUAUUUUCUUAAGCAUAAUAUUUGAGCCUUGAGAGUUCAUUCCACUGUUCAUCAUUGUUUAAGCAGUUUGAAGCGUGGAUUCAAGAGAAGGUCAAGGCUACAAGAUCCAACAUUUGGGUUCUAUAUUUUAGUUCUUAUGUUUUCAGUGUUUUCCUAGAAACUAUGAGUUUACAUUAUUUCAUUAUGAGUAGAUAAAUUCAUAGAAUUCUAGGGAUAUGUUAGUAACGAUUUUGGUUUAUACAGUUCCUAUUUAUUUAAUAUCCGUUUUGUUUA